GGUGAAAUCCGAUAGUGGUUAUUCGGUCACACUCGAACGAAUUCGAAGACUUUCAUGUGAUGCCGUAAGGCGCGUGAGUUCAAAUCUCACUUUCACCU